rnacentral:lncRNA from 1 species
GCCGGGCGUGGUGGUGCAUGCCUGUAGUCCCAGCUACUCAGGAGGCUGAGGCAGGAGAAUUGCUUGAACCUGGGAGGUGGAGGUUGCAGUGAGCUGAGAUUGUGCCACUGCACUCCUGCCUGGGUGACAGAGUGAGACUCUGUCUCAAAAAAGAAAAAAAAACACAACAUUUUCAGAUGUAUUUAUUUUAAUAGACAGGAUCUCACUCUGUCACCCAGGCUGGAGUGCAAUGGUGGGAUCAGAGCUCACUGCAGCCUUGAACUCCUGGGCUCAAUCAAUCCACCUCCUUU